AUUGAACGCUGGCGGCAUGCCUAACACAUGCAAGUCGAGCGGAGCUGCUGACGGGUGAGUAAUGCCUAGGAAUCUGCCUGUUCGUGGUGGAUCCCCUCAGGAAACCGUCCCUAAUCACGCAUACGUUCAGCUCAGCCUGGGUGGUAUUAGCUAGUUGGUGGGUUAAAGGCCUACCAAUGCUACGAUCCGUAACUGUUCUGAGAGGAUGAUCAGUCACACAGGAACUGAGACACGGUCCAGAAUCCUACGGGAGGCAGCGGUGGGGAAUAUUGGACAAUGGGCGAAGGCCUGAGCCAGCCAUGCCGCGUGUGUGAAGAAGGUAUUCGGAUGGUAAAGCACUUUAAGUUGGGAGGCGUUACCAACAGAAUAAGCACCGGCUAACUUCGUGCCAGCAGCCGCGGUAAUAC
rnacentral:rRNA from 1 species